CAGUCCUGUGAUACGCCAGUGGGGCUAGUGUACUGGUUAGCUCUACCCAGGGGCAGUGAGAGAACAGGAUUGGCCAUGUCGUCCCUGAUCAGGAAGGUAAUCAGCACCGCCAAGGCCCCAGCGGCCCUUGGUCCCUACAGUCAGGCUGUGUUAGUCGACAGGACCAUUUACAUUUCAGGACAGCUAGGCAUGGACCCUGCAAGUGGACAGCUUGUGCCAGGAGGAGUGGCAGAAGAAGCUAAACAGGCCCUUACAAACAUAGGUGAAAUUCUGAAAGCUGCAGGCUGUGACUUCACAAAUGUGGUGAAAACAACGGUUAUGCUGGCUGACAUAAAUGACUUCAGUACUGUCAAUGACAUCUACAAAGAGUAUUUCAAGAGUAGUUUUCCUGCGAGAGCUGCCUACCAGGUUGCUGCUUUGCCCAAAGGAGGCCGUGUUGAGAUUGAAGCAGUAGCUGUCCAAGGACCUCUCCAGACAGCAUCACUCUAAGUGGGCCCAGUGUUACUUAAUCUGGAAUUUUAAUAAUGUUUUUAAUUAAUUCAGCUAAUGUCUUACUUUUUAUAAUUGAUGUUGGGAAGUGUAAGGUUGAUGGGCAUAUCUGAGGUUACUAUGGAAAUACCAUAUAAUAAGGGGGAUUGAACACAAAUUGAAGAUUAAUGAUGAAUCCAGUUACUGAUGUUAUAAAGUACACUUAUAACACUCGUAUCACUGGAUGUGGGAAAAGAGACACACAUUACAUAGUUACUCAAAUAAAUAAAAGGAAAGGGAAAUAGCAUGUAGGGAAGAUGAGUCACUAACUCCUGAGAAAUAAAGAGCACACCUAAUUCAAUUAAACCCUAUUAAGUCAAUGAUGUGAAAUAUUUAGCUCUCAUGUCAGAUACAUGAUUCUGCUUUUGCUUGAAUAAAAUUCAAGUGUUUAAGUUUGAAUGGUAGAGAUGAAGAAGAAACUGGGCCAAAAGGAGAAGAAACUGGGCCAAAAUUUUAUAUAGAUGAUACUUUUCUAAUGGAAAUAAAAUAGCAUGCAGAUUUUC